rnacentral:lncRNA from 1 species
UGGGCAGGGUUUUUAGUACCAUAAAGAGGAGAGUUUGCCAAAGUUCAUCUCCAACUCAGGCAUUCUGGGAUUCAACUGUUUGUUUUGUUUUGUUUUUCCAGGGAUGGGCUUCUUCCUGGACCCUUUUGAAAUAACAAGAACUUCAAGAUGCAGCAGUUACAAAUGGGUACAUUUUCACAGUAUGUACUCCAAACCUCAUGGACCCUGGGUUAGGAAUCCCUCCUGAGACAUUCCGUUUCUCAUUCCUGAGGGUUUAGAGACAGAAUUUAUGCUUCUGUAUCUAUUUCAUGCUGACCAGGUGUGUUGAGUACCCUGAAGUUAGAGGAGUGAAACUCUUGGGCUGCUGAGAUCAAAACCCUGUUAUUAGAAGAGAUCAAGUCUGACCUGCUCUGUAAAAGAAGGUAGAUGACUUAGAAGCCACUUCUUAUCCUCGGUGACAGCCUUGAACAGAGUCUAAAAGGAUAGCAAAGAUUCUUCUUUGACAAGGGCUUAGCAAACACAAAGUUCCCAUACCCUGGGCGGUGCAAAGUGUUGCUAUGGCUUGUUGGAGAGAUCUCAAGAAUCAACACUGAAAAUCACCUCUCCUGACAUCGUGCUUUGUGAAUUGCCAGCAUCCCUCCUUAGGCCCACAUUAGCAGUAAGAGAGUUCACCUGGAUGGAUAUUAUUGCAGCGAACACCAGGGGAAUGAAUAAGAGAUCCACAACUGCUGUCAGUGGAAAGCACAAAAAGGAAAUGAAUCUCAACUAACAGCAAAGGGAGCUCUGGAAGCUGCAUUGCACGUGUACGGCACGAUAAUCAGAGGCCCGUCUGUGAAAUGAUUGCAAGGUUUUGUUCUACCUAGAAAAGUUUCGGAGUUGAGAGGCAGCAUGACAGAGUGGAAAGAGGACGGAUUUUGGAAUUAGACAGCUUGAGGUGAAAAUCCUAUAACACAGAAAAGAUAGUGUGAAUGUCUGGGGCUAUGGGGAAGAUGAACAAGCCAGCUUUUGUCAAGUGCCAGAUACAUAGGUGUCCAGUAAUUGGUAGGUAUUAUUGCCUCUUGUUUGGAUCUAUAAAUUUCAAAGAGAAC